AAUUUCAGCUGAAAAGGUCAUGAACAUAAAAGUUGUAGAACUCGUUAAGACAUACAACUUUUAUUUUGGUCAUUUCUUCAUCCGACAAAGUGAUAGUAACAUUAUUCUCAAAAUUUAAAUUUAUAUAUCUCUCUUACAGUUUAUAAAACCAAAAAAGAGAUAUGUAAAUUUUGUGAAUAAUGUUACUAUCACUUUGUCGGAUGAAGAAAUGACCAAAAUAAAAGUUAUACAACUUUGUUGUUAACGACUUUUUCAGUUGAAAUU
rnacentral:pre_miRNA from 1 species